rnacentral:lncRNA from 1 species
CAGCUUGAAUGGCUCAAGUUUAUGUUUUCGGGUAGCAAACAUAGCAUAGUCUGAUGUGCAGACAACAAUACCAACAUCAGUCGCGGUGAAUUUCAAGCACAUGACUCAAAGCACUCAGAGACUAGUCCCAGACCAGCCCAAAUCCAAGAUUCGAAUAGCAAUGCUGCAGGUGUGCUGCAAAUGGAGCAACCAGUUGCAUAGCCCAAAUGGCACUCUGGGACACCCCUAGAUUGUCAAUGUCGUCUAACGUGGCAUUCCCACCAUGUUAGCAGAUUCUGAUCUCAAGAGCAUUUGCUGUACUUACUGCUGGGACCCAAUGGCAUGUAUUCUAUCCACAAUACUUCAGGACCAUUGUCCAGCAGAGGGCAAAUUGUGUAAUGGAACUCCAACAUUGUCGCCCAGUGGAAGGCAGUCAAGCUGCUAAGGACACGACCCACUUCUGGAUCAUGCCCUGUUCGCAAUUGGUGCCUGAAAUUGCAGAAACACGCUCAGGCUAACUUGGCUGCCUGAAAUUGAACUUGCAUGCACGCUGCUUCAGGACAUAAGCCGCCAGCACGCUUUCAUUGUUGCAAGCAUGAAAACCGGGCUAAGAAGAGCGAUAAACAUUUCUGCUCUAGGAGUUGGAUAUCGAGGACGUACCCACGGUGUCCACAAUAUAAUAGGUGGUUGCCUGUGAGAAGGUAUGUUUUCGGAAGUUUUCAUCGGCGCGACGUUUUCAGCCUGGAAGAGAGUGCUCAGGGCCGAUAUUAGUGUCGUUGCAAUGAAUUCUGCGGCGAAAGCCAUUUCCCGGGCGUCUGUGCAGUUCGCUGCAAAGCCAAGGAGUGAAAAACUCAGCGUUGUACAGGUAGAAGGAAAAAAAGCAGUCAUCCCUUGGAACUUCAUGCAGGUAAGCCUUGGUAAGGUGCAAAAGAUAUUAGAGGGGAUGGACCUUACAUGUCGGGAAUGGCAUGGCAGUGUGGUUGCCUUUCCAGUUGUAAAUCACACUGUCGCCGACCAACGCGGUGCCAUCUUGAUAGGGCAGUAGGUUGGCCAGAGUGGGGUUGUCCCAAUUGAUGGGCCCAGCAGGCGUUGCCAUUGGUGCUGCCGCAGGCAGGAACCCUGCAGAAAAGUAGGUGCACCGGUUAUCAGCAGGCCCAGGCUAGUUGACAGUCCUUGUAGUUGAUGGGCAUUACUGCUCCCCUCAGCAGUAUGCUUAUGCCCUUCAAAAGGCAAAGAUAGUGGUCACGAAGCGCUGUUGCCUGCUGUAGACCACUUGUUCCAUUCACGGAGAUAGAACGCCACUUCAAACCCUUUGCACCCCCUGCACAGGCAAGUCGAGCUACACUGUGCUGAAGCGUCUUUCCCCUCUCAAUCAAAACUAGAUACGUGUAUUCCAACGCGUAAGCUGCUCACCUGCAGCGCAG